GACGAACGCUGGCGGCGUGCCUAAUACAUGCAAGUAGAACGCUGAAGAGAGGAGCUUGCUCUUCUUGGAUGAGUUGCGAACGGGUGAGUAACGCGUAGGUAACCUGCCUUGUAGCGGGGGAUAACUAUUGGAAACGAUAGCUAAUACCGCAUAACAAUGGAUGACACAUGUCAUUUAUUUGAAAGGGGCAAUUGCUCCACUACAAGAUGGACCUGCGUUGUAUUAGCUAGUAGGUGAGGUAACGGCUCACCUAGGCGACGAUACAUAGCCGACCUGAGAGGGUGAUCGGCCACACUGGGACUGAGACACGGCCCAGACUCCUACGGGAGGCAGCAGUAGGGAAUCUUCGGCAAUGGGGGCAACCCUGACCGAGCAACGCCGCGUGAGUGAAGAAGGUUUUCGGAUCGUAAAGCUCUGUUGUAAGUCAAGAACGAGUGUGAGAGUGGAAAGUUCACACUGUGACGGUAGCUUACCAGAAAGGGACGGG
rnacentral:rRNA from 1 species